rnacentral:rRNA from 1 species
UACGUAGGGUGCGAGCGUUAAUCGGAAUUACUGGGCGUAAAGCGUGCGCAGGCGGUUUGACAAGUCAGAUGUGAAAGCCCCGGGCUUAACCUGGGAAUGGCGUUUGAAACUGUCAGACUAGAGUGUGUCAGAGGGAGGUAGAAUUCCACGUGUAGCAGUGAAAUGCGUAGAGAUGUGGAGGAAUACCGAUGGCGAAGGCAGCCUCCUGGGAUAACACUGACGCUCAGGCACGAAAGCGUGGGGAGCAAACAGG